CCUCCCCUCGGGGCCCCCAAAACUUCCCGGGGGGCUGCAGGAGGGGGCUGCCCACAGCCCUCUGUGAGAGGGGGCAGCCUUGCAGCUGCCGGGCUGCCUUGUCGCCCUGUUCCCCACCCCGCUGCACCCCGCUCUCCCCUCAGGCAGGCGCCUCCCUCCGGGCAGUGCGGCGGGAGUUGGUGCCGGGACAAGGCGGCGGGGAGCUCGGCUACUUGCCCAGAUGUCUGGAAACAGUCUGGGAUACUAAAUAGUUCAAGAAGAUCUACACAGAGACUCACACUGUAUAUAGUUUGGACUUUUUUCAGAGUGCCACAGUGAAGUUCAGUUCUAUGCCCUCACAAAGAAGAAUAACAAAAGAGGCUCCAAUUCAGGAAACAUCAAAACUUGCAGAGCUCUCAUUCUGCUCCCUACUCUUCUCGUGUAGUUUGGGAGUCCUGUGGAAGAGAACUCUUCUGGUGACCCUUUGCUCAAUGGAAAUAGCUUCUGUUCUUACGGCACGAGAGCCUGGGCCCUUCAAGAAGAUGCCUCCCAGCUUGACAGCUGCCUGCAAGGAUGCCCUCACAGGCCAAGGCUGGGCACCUAUUUCAGAUAAAUAGAAGUAUCUGCCUAAAUAUAGGCUUCCUUCAAAACUAUGUGCAUUCUGUGAUACCAAGUGUGUUUCUGAGACGAUAUUCAAUGUAUAUUGCAGUAAUAUCUGAUGAAAGGGGGCAGAAAAUAAUGCAGAAAUCCUAGUACUAAUGAGAGUUUACCAGUAAUUUGGGAUUCUUCUUAACAGUUUGUUUGGCAAGAUUUCUAUAUCAAAAUUUCAUUUUUUUGACACACCUUGACUGGAAUUAAUUUCUUAUGUGUCUGUGGUAUUGUAAGACAGUUGAAAUAUUUCUGCAAAAACACAUACAAAAAUUUCAAGCAGCUGUUUGAAUGUGUGCCUUGUUAAAACAGUUUUAGAUGUGCUCUUACUAUUCUUUCAGUGACAGGAAAUGUUUAAGGAAUGAGGUUUAGAAAGAAUGAGAACAUGCAUGGAAUGUAUUAGAAAAAUGGAAAAUUUUAAAUGUAGAAUCCAUUGACCACUUCUCAAUGAAAAAUGCUGCAUGUAAAUUAUAAACAAUGUGCUGAUAUUUACUAAAUCAUAAAAUUAUGUUUCAUAGAAUAUCUAAGUUGGAAGGGACCCACAAGAAUCAUUG